GCUUCCUUCAGUUUUUAGCCCCUUGGUAACCUAUAGUGCAUGUGUCAUAUUGAUUAGAGAUUCAAGUCAGUUUUUCCUUUGCUCUUUGAUUUUUGUCUACAGUAGAGUCGGGUUACAGGACGAGCAGAGAGCCAAGCGCUUCACGCGAGCCUGGGAUUCGUGUCUGGGAGGCGAGGAGUACUUCCGAGCACCGUGAAGCAUUUGCACAUAUGUUUUUCUCUUCUGCCUCUGUGGUCCUUUACGUCACUCAUCACCAGGGAAAUGCAAAUCAAAACCACAAUGAGAUCAACUCACACCUGGCUUACUGGACCAUCACCCACUCUAGGCAUAGAGUCUCGUGGGUUGCAGCUGCGCAUUGGCGUCCUAAUGAGAAAGGGGAAAUCCGGACAGAGACACACAGGGAGAACUCCAUAAGCAGAUGGAAGCAGAGAUUGGAGUCAUACAGCUGCAAGUCAAGGAGGACAGGUGACAUCAGAGGCUGGGAACGGUAUGGAACAGAUUCUCCACUAGACCCUUAAGAACAAAUGGCCCAGCAAAUACCUUAAUUUUGGACUUUGAGCCUCCAGAAUUGUGAGACAAGAAAUUUCUAUUUAAAGUCACUCACCUUGUGGCACUUCCUUAUGGGAGUCCAAGGAAACAGAACAAAACCCAAAUAUAUUGCCAGAGAGAAAAGGAUGAAAAAUUAACGUGACCAAGAGGGGUCUCUAUAUGGCCAAAACGACAUGACCAGUUAUUAAAAUACUAUUCUUAAUAAUAUUUCUGGAAUGGUGGUCAGGAGACUGAGAGAACAAAUGCACACACCACUUUGGAAGAUGGUGUCAACAUUUAAUUAUUAUACUGGAGGAUGUCUUGAGGAGAAUAUUCUAAAUUGCACUAAGAUAUAGGUUUGCAAAAACCAUCAGCAAAACCCAAAAAUGAUUGACAGUUUACAGUUUUCUGAUGUUUGGUAAUUGGCUUGCUUCCAUCUAAAUAUUUUGAUGUUAUUUUCCUGAACCAAAAAUCUGGUCACACUUUCUGCAGUGAGAAGGAAGUUUUCUAUUUAAGGAAGCAACAAUAGCGGAGUAGGCAGAGUAGUGAAGAGAAAAAUCGCAUGGUGGUCAUCAAGUGGUUGGGGAGUGGGCUAUCUGCAUAGUUUCAGAGGGAUACAGGAUUUUCCUAGAAGUGGC
rnacentral:lncRNA from 1 species